AGUUUGAUCCUGGCUCAGAAUGAACGCUGGCGGCGUGCUUAACACAUGCAAGUCGAACGAGAAAGCCUGGUUUCGGCCGGGCGAGUAAAGUGGCGCACGGGUGAGUAACGCGUAGGCAAUCUACCUUCGGGACUGGGAUAACAGUGCGAAAGUGCUGCUAAUACCGGAUACGAUUUUCGACCGGGAGGUUGAAGAUGAAAGUCGGCCACUCAGUGAAGCCGAUGUCCGAAGAUGAGCCUGCGUCCUAUCAGCUGGUUGGUAGGGUAACGGCCUACCAAGGCGACGACGGGUAGCUGGUCUGAGAGGAUGAUCAGCCACACUGGCACUGGAAUACGGGCCAGACUCCUACGGGAGGCAGCAGUGAGGAAUUUUGCGCAAUGGGAGCAAUCCUGACGCAGCAACGCCGCGUGAGUGAUGAAGGCCUUCGGGUCGUAAAGCUCUGUCAGGUGGGAAGAAUGUCUUGUGCUCGAAUAGGGCAUGGGAGUGACGGUACCACCAGAGGAAGCACCGGCUAACUCCGUGCCAGCAGCCGCGGUAAUACGGAGGGUGCGAGCGUUAUUCGGAAUUACUGGGCGUAAAGGGCGUGUAGGCGGCAUUGCA
rnacentral:rRNA from 1 species